UACAGAGGUGGCAAGCGUUGUUCGGAAUUACUGGGCGUAAAGGGCGCGUAGGCGGCCUUCUAAGUCGAACGUGAAAUCCCCGGGCUCAACCCGGGAACUGCGUCCGAUACUGGAAGGCUUGAAUCCGGGAGAGGGAUGUGGAGUUCCUGGUGUAGCGGUGAAAUGCGUAGAUAUCAGGAGGAACACCGGUGGCGAAGGCGGAUCUCUGGACCAGUUCUGACACUGAUGAGCGAAAGCCAGGGGAGCAAACAGG
rnacentral:rRNA from 1 species